GACGAACGCUGGCGGCGUGCUUAACACAUGCAAGUCGAUCGAUGAUGCCCAGCUUGCUGGGUGGAUUAGUGGCGAACGGGUGAGUAACACGUGAGUAACCUGCCCCUGACUCUGGGAUAAGCGUUGGAAACGACGUCUAAUACUGGAUAUGACUGCCGGCCGCAUGGUCUGGUGGUGGAAAGAUUUUUUGGUUGGGGAUGGACUCGCGGCCUAUCAGCUUGUUGGUGAGGUAAUGGCUCACCAAGGCGACGACGGGUAGCCGGCCUUAGAGGGUGACCGGCCACACUGGGACUGAGACACGGCCCAGACUCCUACGGGAGGCAGCAGUGGGGAAUAUUGCACAAUGGGCGAAGGCCUGAUGCAGCAACGCCGCGUGAGGGAUGACGGCCUUCGGGUUGUAAACCUCUUUUAGUAGGGAAGAAGCGAAAGUGACGGUACCUGCAGAAAAAGCACCGGCUAACUACGUGCCAGCCGCCGCGGUAA
rnacentral:rRNA from 1 species